rnacentral:rRNA from 1 species
GACGAACCGUGCGAACGUUGUUCGGAAUCACUGGGCUUAAAGGGCGCGUAGGCGGGUGACCAAGUCAGGGGUGAAAUCUUUCGGCCCAACCGGAAAAGUGCCUCUGAUACUGGUCGUCUUGAGGGAGGUAGGGGUCGAGGGAACUGGUGGUGGAGCGGUGAAAUGCGUAGAUAUCACUAGGAACGCCGGUGGCGAAAGCGCUCGACUGGACCUCUCCUGACGCUGAGGAGCGAAAGCAUGGGGAGCGAACAGG